rnacentral:rRNA from 1 species
UAUUCGAAAGGUGCUUGCAUCUUGAUUUGAUUUUGAACGAGUGGCGGACGGGUGAGUAACACGUGGGUAACCUGCCCUUAAGUGGGGGAUAACAUUUGGAAACAGAUGCUAAUACCGCAUAAAUCCAAGAACCGCAUGGUUCUUGGCUGAAAGAUGGCGUAAGCUAUCGCUUUUGGAUGGACCCGCGGCGUAUUAGCUAGUUGGUGAGGUAACGGCUCACCAAGGCAAUGAUACGUAGCCGAACUGAGAGGUUGAUCGGCCACAUUGGGACUGAGACACGGCCCAAACUCCUACGGGAGGCAGCAGUAGGGAAUCUUCCACAAUGGACGCAAGUCUGAUGGAGCAACGCCGCGUGAGUGAAGAAGGCUUUCGGGUCGUAAAACUCUGUUGUUGGAGAAGAAUGGUCGGCAGAGUAACUGUUGUCGGCGUGACGGUAUCCAACCAGAAAGCCACGGCUAACUACGUGCCAGCAGCCGCGGUAAUACGUAGGUGGCAAGCGUUAUCCGGAUUUAUUGGGCGUAAAGCGAGCGCAGGCGGUUUUUUAAGUCUGAUGUGAAAGCCCUCGGCUUAACCGAGGAAGUGCAUCGGAAACUGGGAAACUUGAGUGCAGAAGAGGACAGUGGAACUCCAUGUGUAGCGGUGAAAUGCGUAGAUAUAUGGAAGAACACCAGUGGCGAAGGCGGCUGUCUGGUCUGUAACUGACGCUGAGGCUCGAAAGCAUGGGUAGCGAACAGGAUUAGAUACCCUGGUAGUCCAUGCCGUAAACGAUGAAUGCUAGGUGUUGGAGGGUUUCCGCCCUUCAGUGCCGCAGCUAACGCAUUAAGCAUUCCGCCUGGGGAGUACGACCGCAAGGUUGAAACUCAAAGGAAUUGACGGGGGCCCGCACAAGCGGUGGAGCAUGUGGUUUAAUUCGAAGCAACGCGAAGAACCUUACCAGGUCUUGACAUCUUUUGAUCACCUGAGAGAUCAGGUUUCCCCUUCGGGGGCAAAAUGACAGGUGGUGUAUGGUUGUCGUCAGCUCGUGUCGUGAGAUGUUGGGUUAAGUCCCGCAACGAGCGCAACCCUUAUGACUAGUUGCCAGCAUUUAGUUGGGCACUCUAGUAAGACUGCCGGUGACAAACCGGAGGAAGGUGGGGAUGACGUCAAAUCAUCAUGCCCCUUAUGACCUGGGCUACACACGUGCUACAAUGGAUGGUACAACGAGUUGCGAGACCGCGAGGUCAAGCUAAUCUCUUAAAGCCAUUCUCAGUUCGGACUGUAGGCUGCAACUCGCCUACACGAAGUCGGAAUCGCUAGUAAUCGCGGAUCAGCACGCCGCGGUGAAUACGUUCCCGGGCCUUGUACACACCGCCCGUCACACCAUGAGAGUUUGUAACACCCGAAGCCGGUGGCGUAACC